rnacentral:rRNA from 1 species
CGUGUAGGCGGCUUGACAAGUCAGAUGUGAAACUCCCUGGGCUUAACCCGAGGAAGUGCAUUUGAAACUGUUUGGCUGGAGUAAGGGAGAGGAAAGUGGAAUUCCUGGUGUAGAGGUGAAAUUCGUAGAUAUCAGGAGGAACACCGGUGGCGAAGGCGACUUUCUGGCCCUAUACUGACGCUGAGACGCGAAAGCGUGGGUAGCAAACAG